UGAGAGUUUGAUCCUGGCUCAGGAUGAACGCUGGCGGUCUGCUUAACACAUGCAAGUCGAACGCAACCUUCGGGUUGAGUGGCGGACGGGUGAGUAACGCGUGAGAAUCUGCCUUGGGGCCGGGGACAACCACUGGAAACGGUGGCUAAUACCGGAUACGCCUUCGGGUAAAAGAUUUAUUGCCCUACGAGGAGCUCGCGUCUGAUUAGCUAGUUGGUGAGGUAAGAGCUCACCAAGGCAGCGAUCAGUAGCUGGUCUGAGAGGACGAUCAGCCACACUGGGACUGAGACACGGCCCAGACUCCUACGGGAGGCAGCAGUGGGGAAUUUUCCGCAAUGGGCGAAAGCCUGACGGAGCAAGACCGCGUGAGGGAGGAAGGCUCUUGGGUUGUAAACCUCUUUUCUCAGGGAAGAAGCUCUGACGGUACCUGAGGAAUCAGCCUCGGCUAACUCCGUGCCAGCAGCCGCGGUAAUACGGAGGAGGCAAGCGUUAUCCGGAAUUAUUGGGCGUAAAGCGUCCGCAGGUGGCGAUUCAAGUCUGCUGUCAAAGCACGGGGCUUAACUCCGUAAAGGCAGUGGAAACUGAAUAGCUAGAGUGCCGUAGGGGUAGAGGGAAUUCCCGGUGUAGCGGUGAAAUGCGUAGAGAUCGGGAAGAACAUCGGUGGCGAGAGCGCUCUACUGGACGGCAACUGACACUCAGGGACGAAAGCUAGGGGAGCGAAUGGGAUUAGAUACCCCAGUAGUCCUAGCUGUAAACGAUGGAUACUAGGUGUAGCUUGUAUCGACCCGAGCUGUGCCGAAGCUAACGCGUU
rnacentral:rRNA from 1 species